rnacentral:rRNA from 1 species
GACGUUGAUAGGUCAGGUGUGGAAGUGCAGUAAUGCAUUAAGCUAACUGAUACUAAUUGCCCGUACGGCUUGUCCCUAUAACCUUGACGGUUAUG